AAAAAUGGCCAAUCAAUACG
rnacentral:snRNA from 1 species